rnacentral:rRNA from 1 species
AUUGAACGCUGGCGGCAGGCUUAACACAUGCAAGUCGAACGGUAACAGGGGGUAGCUUGCUACUUUGCUGACGAGUGGCGGACGGGUGAGUAACGGUAUGGGAAUUUGCCGAAUGGAGGGGGACAACAGUUGGAAACGGCUGCUAAUACCGCAUAACGUCGCGAGACCAAAGGGUGGGACUUUCGGGCCACCUGCCAUUUGAUGAGCCCAUAUUAGAUUAAGUCGUAGUUGGUUGGUGGUUAAGG